ensembl:processed_transcript Gas5 growth arrest specific 5
UACUGAAUAGUAAUGAGAAGUUAGGUUGAAAGGACAGUGCCACAAUGAUGACAUCAUAUUUGCUACUCUUGACAGCUGGGGUGACGAUAGCUUUAAACCACCAUGAUUAUAACUGAGGCACACAAAAUAAUGAUUUGGGGGCUACUUACAGAGUAAGCAGUUUUUACAUAAAGAUUCCCCCCCCCAGGACUCGUCAGGAAGCUGGAUAACAGAGCGAGCGCAAUGUAAGCAAUUUUGUGUGUGCAUGUGGUCCCAUUACAAGGAAUACCCAAUGGCAAAUGAGCACUAAAGAUCCCUCAACCCACACAUUGAAUGUAUUGUUCCCUGAGAACAAUUGUAGAUAGAGGAGUGGGUGGGAGAUCUGAAGUCAGGGCAUUGUUUCUGCGUAUCUGAGGAGGCUGGUUUUUGAUAUGUGGGAGCUAGUGGUCGUUAACGCAUUUACCCCCUAUUUGGUGGACUCUGGUUCCCCCAUCUUAAGUGCUGAGUCAGGGGCCUAACCGGGCAGCUUUAACUAUUUGUUUGUUGUAGGUGCUAGAAUAGAAGACCAGAAAAUGAAAUGGUGGAGUUUGAGGCUGGAUAGACAGUUUGAAAGGUAAGUAUUGAAAAACUUGAAUUUGGGUCAGUAC